UUUUAUUUUCCUUCCUGCAGUGGCAGCAUUUCAAAAAUACCACAGCAGAAUACUCUUCUGCAUGCCUGGAACCCUUAUGCAGAACAGUGGAACGAAACAGCAACAGUGGCAAAGAAAAUGUAUCUCUGCAUUCUUUGAUAUGGCCUACCAAGGCUUUGCCAGUGGUGAAGAUAACAAGGAUGCCUGGGCUGUGUGCUACUUCAUUGAAUAGAGCAUUGAUGUUUGUCUCUGCCAAUCACAUGCCAGGCACAUGGGCUUUCUGUGAUCAGCAUGUGGAAGCCUUCACUGUGAUCUGCAAAGACAGUGGAUGAACUCAAAAGGGUAGAGUCACAGUCGAAGAUCCUCAUGCAUCGUUUGUAUUCCAACCCUCCUCUCAAUGGGCCCUGGAUUGUCUCUACUAUUCUGAACACCCUGGGUUUGUGAAAACAAUGGUUGCAAGAAGUGAAAAUCGCAGCUGACUGCAUUAUUAGCAUGCGGACUCAGCUAGUCUUCAACCUGAAUAAGGAAGAUUCCUUACACAUCUGGCAACAGAUGACUGACCAAAUU
rnacentral:lncRNA from 1 species